GAAACUUGCCCCGAGAUGAGUUCUCCCUGAGACUUAGAGUCUCCUGAAGGAACGUUGAAGACGACGACGUUGAUAGGCCGGGUGUGUAAGCGCAGCGAUGCGUUGAGCUAACCGGUACUAAUGAACCGUGAGGCUUAACCUUACAACGCCGAAG
rnacentral:rRNA from 1 species